GGGGGGGGGGGGGGGGGGGGGGGGGGCGGGGGGGUCGGGCGGGCGGGGGAGCGGCUUGCUUCUCGGAUGGUCGCGGCGGGCGGGUGCGUGACGCGUUGUGCACCUACCUAUACGACUGGGAUCACUUCGGGAAACCGGCGCUGAUACCGGAUAAGAUUUUGCAGCGCGUGGUUCGCAAGUGAACGACGGUCUUGCUGUCACUUCUAGAUGGAUGCGCGCUGCAUUCGCUAGGUGGUAAGGUAACGGCUUACCAAGGCAACGAUGCAUAGCCGACCUCCGAGGGUGAACGGCCACCCUGGAACUGAGACACGGUCCAGACUCCUACGGGAGGCAGCAGUAGGGAAUCUUCCGCAAUGGGCGAAAGCCUGACGGAGCAACGCCGCGUGAGUGAUGAAGGUCUUCGGAUCGUAAAACUCUGUUAUUAGGGAAGAACAUAUGUGUAAGUAACUGUGCACAUCUUGACGGUACCUAAUCAGAAAGCCACGGCUAACUACGUG
rnacentral:rRNA from 1 species